UACGAAGGGGGCUAGCGUUGCUCGGAAUGACUGGGCGUAAAGCGCACGUAGGCGGUUUUUUAAGUCGGGGGUGAAAUCCUGGAGCUCAACUCCAGAACUGCCUUCGAUACUGGAAGACUUGAGUCCGGGAGAGGUGAGUGGAACUGCGAGUGUAGAGGUGAAAUUCGUAGAUAUUCGCAAGAACACCAGUGGCGAAGGCGGCUCACUGGCCCGGUACUGACGCUGAGGUGCGAAAGCGUGGGGAGCAAACAGG
rnacentral:rRNA from 1 species